rnacentral:rRNA from 1 species
UGGGGAAUAUUGCACAAUGGGCGCAAGCCUGAUGCAGCCAUGCCGCGUGUAUGAAGAAGGCCUUCGGGUUGUAAAGUACUUUCAGCGGGGAGGAAGGGAGUAAAGUUAAUACCUUUGCUCAUUGACGUUACCCGCAGAAGAAGCACCGGCUAACUCCGUGCCAGCAGCCGCGGUAAUACGGAGGGUGCAAGCGUUAAUCGGAAUUACUGGGCGUAAAGCGCACGCAGGCGGUUUGUUAAGUCAGAUGUGAAAUCCCCGGGCUCAACCUGGGAACUGCAUCUGAUACUGGCAAGCUUGAGUCUCGUAGAGGGGGGUAGAAUUCCAGGUGUAGCGGUGAAAUGCGUAGAGAUGUGGGGGAAUACCGGUGGCGAAGGCGGCCCCCUGGACAAAGACUGACGCUCAGGUGCGAAAGCGUGGGGAGCAAACAGG